rnacentral:rRNA from 1 species
GACGAACGCUGGCGGCGUGCUUAACACAUGCAAGUCGAACGGAGUGCCCUUGAAAGAGGCUUCGGCCAAUGGAUGGGAACACUUAGUGGCGGACUGGUGAGUAACGCGUGAGGAACCUGCCUUUCAGAGGGGGAUAACGGCUGGAAACGGUCGCUAAUACCGCAUGAAAUGUUCGGAUGGCAUCGUCUGAACAUCAAAGAUUUAUCGCUGAAAGAUGGGCUCGCGUCUGAUUAGAUAGUUGGCGGGGUAACGGCCCACCAAGGCGACGAUCGGUAGCCGACCUGAGAGGGUGACCGGCCACAUUGGGACUGAGACACGGCCCAA